rnacentral:tRNA from 1 species
GGAGGCGAAAGAGCACCUGGUGGGCUCCGCGGUCUUCAAAACCGUUGGGGCGGCCGAGGGCCGCCCGGCGGGUUCGAUUCCCGUCCGCCUCCGCCA